UGCAAGUCGAACGAUGAUCCCAGCUUGCUGGGGGAUUAGUGGCGAACGGGUGAGUAACACGUGAGUAACCUGCCCUUGACUCUGGGAUAAGCCUGGGAAACUGGGUCUAAUACCGGAUACGACCAUCUGGCGCAUGUCAUGGUGGUGGAAAGCUUUUGUGGUUUUGGAUGGACUCGCGGCCUAUCAGCUUGUUGGUGGGGUAAUGGCCUACCAAGGCGACGACGGGUAGCCGGCCUGAGAGGGUGACCGGCCACACUGGGACUGAGACACGGCCCAGACUCCUACGGGAGGCAGCAGUGGGGAAUAUUGCACAAUGGGCGAAAGCCUGAUGCAGCGACGCCGCGUGAGGGAUGACGGCCUUCGGGUUGUAAACCUCUUUCAGUAGGGAAGAAGCGAAAGUGACGGUACCUGCAGAAGAAGCGCCGGCUAACUACGUGCCAGCAGCCGCGGUAAUACGUAGGGCGCAAGCGUUAUCCGGAAUUAUUGGGCGUAAAGAGCUCGUAGGCGGUUUGUCGCGUCUGCUGUGAAAGACCGGGGCUCAACUCCGGUUCUGCAGUGGGUACGGGCAGACUAGAGUGCAGUAGGGGAGACUGGAAUUCCUGGUGUAGCGGUGAAAUGCGCAGAUAUCAGGAGGAACACCGAUGGCGAAGGCAGGUCUCUGGGCUGUAACUGACGCUGAGGAGCGAAAGCAUGGGGAGCGAACAGGAUUAGAUACCCUGGUAGUCCAUGCCGUAAACGUUGGGCACUAGGUGUGGGGGACAUUCCACGUUUUCCGCGCCGUAGCUAACGCAUUAAGUGCCCCGCCUGGGGAGUACGGCCGCAAGGCUAAAACUCAAAGGAAUUGACGGGGGCCCGCACAAGCGGCGGAGCAUGCGGAUUAAUUCGAUGCAACGCGAAGAACCUUACCAAGGCUUGACAUGAACCGGAAAGACCUGGAAACAGGUGCCCCGCUUGCGGUCGGUUUACAGGUGGGUGCAUGGUUGUCGUCAGCUCGUGUCGUGAGAUGUUGGGUUAAGUCCCGCAACGAGCGCAACCCUCGUUCUAUGUUGCCAGCGCGUUAUGGCGGGGACUCAUAGGAGACUGCCGGGGUCAACU
rnacentral:rRNA from 1 species